CCAACAGAAAGAGAGCCUUUGAAUAGGAGAGGCCUAAAUGAGUGGGAAAAAAUGGAAAAGGGUUCUUUCCGUCACUGAUCCUAUUUCCAGAUCUAGAUAUUGUGCAGUGGAGCAGAAAAUCCUCUCCCUUUGGUGUUGAGUUUGAAAACUCACAGACUCAGAGCCUACAUGGAAAUGGACAAAGGACUGGCUUGGAAAAUGCAGGAAAGAAGUUGGGGACAUAUAUGCAA